AAUGGGCGAAAGCCUGACGCAGCGACGCCGCGUGAGGGAUGACGGUCUUCGGAUUGUAAACCUCUUUCAGCAGGGACGAAAUUGACGGUACCUGCAGAAGAAGCACCGGCUAACUACGUGCCAGCAGCCGCGGUAAUACGUAGGGUGCAAGCGUUGUCCGGAUUUAUUGGGCGUAAAGAGCUCGUAGGCGGUUUGUCACGUCGGAUGUGAAACCCCAAGGCUUAACCUUGGGCCUGCAUUCGAUACGGGCAGACUAGAGGAUGGCAGGGGAAACUGGAAUUCCUGGUGUAGCGGUGGAAUGCGCAGAUAUCAGGAGGAACACCGGUGGCGAAGGCGGGUUUCUGGGCCAUUACUGACGCUGAGGAGCGAAAGCGUGGGGAGCAAA
rnacentral:rRNA from 1 species